ACAAGAGAAGGAGUUCACUUCCUAUCUUCUGAACAGGCAGUCACUGGAGAAUAUUCAUGAAAUAAGAAGGAUCAUUAUAAUUACUGUAAUCUCCUCUGAGAAUAACCUUUUUAAUUCACAGCAUCAUUCAACAGAGAUUCUCCAAAAACUAUAAUGAAUAAAGUUUCAUUGACAUGGACUUCCUCAAACACAGCCAGUACUGCAACAGGGUCUACAGCUGAAAUCAGGCUUCCGAAGAGCAAGAAAUCCAUUAGACCAGCAUUGACCUGCGAAUCUUAAUAAAAAAAGAAUUAUUAGAAGGGAUUAUUCCUUCAGAUGUUAAGUAAUACAAGAU